rnacentral:rRNA from 1 species
CCUACGGGUCGCAGCAGUGAGGAAUAUUGGACAAUGGGCGGAAGCCUGAUCCAGCCAUGCCGCGUGCAGGAAGACUGCCCUAUGGGUUGUAAACUGCUUUUAUACGGGAAGAAACCCACCUACGUGUAGGUGGCUGACGGUACCGUAGGAAUAAGCAUCGGCUAACUCCGUGCCAGCAGCCGCGGUAAUACGGAGGAUGCAAGCGUUAUCCGGAAUCAUUGGGUUUAAAGGGUCCGUAGGUGGAUGAUUAAGUCAGUGGUGAAAUCCUGCAGCUCAACUGUAGAAUUGCCUUUGAUACUGGUCAUCUUGAGUCGUUGUGAAGUGGUUGGAAUAUGUAGUGUAGCGGUGAAAUGCAUAGAUAUUACAUAGAACACCUAUUGCGAAGGCAGAUCACUAACAACGUACUGACACUGAUGGACGAAAGCGUGGGGAGCGAACAGGAUUAGAUACCCCCGUAGUC